GAGGAUAUAGCUCAGUGGCAGAGCACGUGCCUAACAUGCAUGAGGUCCUCGGUUCAAUCCCCAUGACCUCC
rnacentral:tRNA from 1 species